rnacentral:rRNA from 1 species
AGGAUGAACGCUGGCGGUCUGCUUAACACAUGCAAGUCGAACGGAGUAGCAAUACUUAGUGGCGGACGGGUGAGUAACGCGUGAGAAUCUACCUUCAGGACGGAGACAACAGUUGGAAACGACUGCUAACCCCCGAUGUACCGAAAGGGCAAAUAUUUAUAGCCUGAAGAAGAGCUCGCGUCCGAUUAGCUAGUUGGAGAGGUAAAAGCUCACCAAGGCGACGAUCGGUAGCUGGUCUGAGAGGACGAUCAGCCACACUGGGACUGAGACACGGCCCAGACUCCUACGGGAGGCAGCAGUGGGGAAUUUCCGCAAUGGGCGAAAGCCUGACGGAGCAAGACCGCGUGGGGGAAGAAGGCUCUUGGGUUGUAAACCCCUUUUCUCUGGGAAGAACGCAAUGACGGUACAGAGGAAUCAGCAUCGGCUAACUCCGUGCCAGCAGCCGC